rnacentral:rRNA from 1 species
GGCUUAGAGUUUGAUCCUGGCUCAGAUUGAACGCUGGCGGCAUGCCUUACACAUGCAAGUCGAACGGCAGCACGGACUUCGGUCUGGUGGCGAGUGGCGAACGGGUGAGUAAUAUAUCGGAACGUACCCUGGAGUGGGGGAUAACGCAGCGAAAGUUGCGCUAAUACCGCAUACGAUCUACGGAUGAAAGUGGGGGCUCGCAAGACCUCAUGCUCGUGGAGCGGCCGAUAUCUGAUUAGCUAGUUGGUAGGGUAAAAGCCUACCAAGGCAUCGAUCAGUAGCUGGUCUGAGAGGACGACCAGCCACACUGGGACUGAGACACGGCCCAGACUCCUACGGGAGGCAGCAGUGGGGAAUUUUGGACAAUGGGGGCAACCCUGAUCCAGCAAUGCCGCGUGAGUGAAGAAGGCCUUCGGGUUGUAAAGCUCUUUUGUCAGGGAAGAAACGGUGAAGGCUAAUAUCCUUUGCUAAUNAUGGUACCUGAAGAGGAAGCACCAANUAACUCC